CCUACGGGAGGCUGCAGUGAGGAAUAUUGGUCAAUGGCCGAGAGGCUGAACCAGCCAAGUCGCGUGAGGGAUGACGGCCCUACGGGUUGUAAACCUCUUUUGUCGGGGAGCAAAGAGACUCACGUGUGGCUCAUUGAGAGUACCCGAAGAAAAAGCAUCGGCUAACUCAGUGCCAGCAGCCGCGGUAAUACGGAGGAGGCGAGCGUUAUCCGGAUUUAUUGGGUUUAAAGGGUGCGCAGGCGGAGGUGCAAGUCAGUGGUAAAAUUGCGGGGCUCAACCCCGUACUGCCGUUGAAACUGCAUCACUGGAGUGCGCGAGAGGUAUGCGGAAUGCGUGGUGUAGCAGUGAAAUGCAUAGAUAUCACGAAGAACUUCGGUGGCGAAGGCAGCAAACCGGCGCGCAACUGACGCUGAGGAACGAAAGCGUGGGUAUCGAACAGGAUUAGAUACCCUGGUAGUC
rnacentral:rRNA from 1 species